rnacentral:rRNA from 1 species
ACGUAGGGUGCGAGCGUUAAUCGGAAUUACUGGGCGUAACGCGUGCGCAGGCGGUUAUAUAAGUCAGAUGUGAAAUCCCCCGGCUCAACCUGGGAACUGCAUUUGAGACUGUAUGACUAGAGGGUGGCAGAGGGGGGAGGAAUUCCACGUGUAGCAGUGAAAUGCGUAGAGAUGUGGAGGAACACCGAUGGCGAAGGCAGCCCACUGGGCCAGUGCUGACGGUCAUGCACGAAAGCGUGGGGAGCAAACAG